GCACCACUUAAAAAUAAAUAAAUAAAAUAAAGGUAUUUGUGUUCAUCUACAACUAAAAGAUAAAUAUUUUUUAAAUAUUUGAAAUGGUAAUGGUAAUGAGAACAACCACCCCAUUCACAAUAUCCUCAAAAAAAAAAAAUAAAAUAAAAUACUUGGGAAUCAACCUAACAAAAGAGGUGAAAGAACUACACAAUGAAAACUACAGAACCCUGAAGAGAGAAAUAGAAGAAGACCUUAGAAGGUGGAAAGAUAUACCCUGUUCAUGGAUAGGCAGAACUAAUAUCAUUAAAAUGGCCAUAUUACCAAAAGUACUCUAUAGGCUUAAUGCAAUGCCAAUCAAAAUCCCAAUGGCAUUCCUCGCAGAAAUAGAAAAAGCAAUCAUGAAAUUCAUCUGGAAAAAUAAAAGACCCAGAAUAGCAAAAGCAAUUCUAAACAGGAAGAGUGAAACUGGCGGUAUAGCGAUACCAGAUUUUAAACUAUACUACAGAGCAAUAGUAACAAAAACAGCAUGGUACUGGUACCAAAACAGGGAGGUAGACCAAUGGUACAGAAUAGAGGACACAGAAACCAAUCCACAAAAUUACAACUACCUUAUAUUAGACAAAGAUGCCAAAAGCAUGCAAUGGAGAAAGGAUAGCAUCUUCAACAAAUGGUGCUGGGAGAACUGGAAAUCCAUAUGCAACAAAAUGAAAUUGAAUCCCUUUCUCUCACCUUGCACAAAAGUUAACUCAAAAUGGAUCAAGGAGCUAGGAAUAAAACCAGAAACUUUGUGUCUAAUAGAAGAAAAAGUUGGCCCUAAUCUCCACCUCGUGGGGUCGGGCUCCAAAUUCCUUAAUAGGACACCUAUAGCACAAGAGUUAAAAUCAAGAAUCAACAAAUGGGACAUACUCAAACUAAAAAGUUUUUUUCUCAGCAAGAGAAACAAUAAGAGAGGUAAAUAGGGAGCCUACAUCCUGGGAACAAAUCUUUACUCCUCACACUUUAGAUAGAGCUCUACUCUCCAGAGUAUACAAAGAACUCAAAAAAUUAAACAACAAGAAAACAAAUAACCUAAUCAACAAAUGGGCCAAGGACCUGAACAGACACUUCUCAGAGGAGGACAUACAGUCAAUCAACAAAUACAUGAAAAAAUGCUCACCAUCUCUAGCAAUCAGAGAAAUGCAAAUUAAAACCACUCUAAGAUACCAUCUCACUCCAGUAAGAAUGCCAGCCAUUAUGAAGUCAAACAAUAACAAGUGCUGGCGAGGAUGUGGGGAAAAGGGUACACUUGUUCAUUGCUUGUGGGACUGCAAAUUGGUUCAGCCAAUUUGGAAAGCAGUAUGGAGAUUCCUUGGAAAGCUGGGAAUGGAAUCACCAUUUGACCCAGUUAUUCCCCUUCGAGGACUAAUCCCAAAAGACCUAAAAAGAGCAUACAACAGGGACACAGCUACAUCAAUGUUCCUAGCAGCACAAUUCACAAUAGCUAGACUGUGGAACCAACCCAGAUGCCCUUCAAUAGAUGAAUGGAGAAAAAAAAUGUGGCAUUUAUACACAAUGGAAUAUUACUUAGCACUAUAAAACAACAAAAUCAUGGCAUUUGCAGGGAAAUGGAUGGCAUUAGAGCAGAUUAUGCUAAGUGAAGCUAGCCAAUCCCUAAAAAACAAAUGCAGAAUGUCUUCUUUGAUAUAAGGGGGGCGACUCAAAACAGAGCAGGGAGGAAGAGCAUGAGAAGAAGAUUACCAUUAAAUAGGGAUGAGAGGUGCGUGGGAAUGGGAGAGAGAAGAGGAAU
rnacentral:lncRNA from 1 species